rnacentral:lncRNA from 1 species
GUCGUAGAGGUGGGACAAAAGAGAACUAGAGGAAGUGGGAUGCCUCCAAGUGAGGAGGAAGAGGAGGAAGAGGAGGCAGAGGAUGUAGAUGAUGGGGAGGAUGAUGAAGGUCAAAGCCCUUUAGUUUAUAUUAACAUUAUAUGAAUUUGUGUGGUUCAAGUGCUAACUUGUAAUUUUUGUAGGUAACAAUGACGUGCUGCCUAACGAAAACAGUGAACCUCUGCGGAAGUCUACAAGGAAAAGGAGGAAGAGGAAGGUAAUAAUGAAGUGCUAACUUUGUCUGUUUGCUUGCUGCCACCCAAAAUUUUAUAUGCUUACUGCUAUCUCAUGCCAUGCAUCCAUUUAUUAUAUAUUGUCAACAAAUUCUAAGACAUGAUAAUAUAAACAAAUUUGUUUGCUAACAACAUGACAUCUAAUUUGCUCACUGGCAGCUUGAUUCGUUUUAACGAAGGAGACUUGCAAGUCUAGAAGGAACUGAAUGACAAUUUGGUUUGUUGCUCAAUGCUAUGUACUGUGUAAUUGACCGAAUCGAUGGUCUUUUGUUAUGGGACUAUAAUAUAUACUGGCUGCACUUCUUUUGUUGUUGGACUGCUAUGUGUCUUCCUGUGUCUAAUCUUAAGUUUAGUCUCUAAAGUCUGAAGCUAUAUUAUUAGACUGCAAUCUCGUGGGCUUGUGGCUGAUGGUUUAUGAGAAUUGUAUAUUUUUGUUGGUCGUUCUAUUGUUAUAUGUGUUGUGGGUCUCUUAAGGCCAGUUACUAUUGCUAUAAACUGCUUAUAUGCCAUCAAUAUAGGGG